CCAUUUCCGUGAAAAAAUUUUAUUGUCUCAUAUGCUUUAUAUCAAUUUAUUGAACAAACUUUCCUAAGGAACACAUAUGUUUUGAGGCCUCUAACUAUUGAAAAACAACGAAAAACUGGCGGAACGCCGUUUUACCCCACGGUCUCCGAAAAAAUAUUUCAUGUUGAUAUCCCUCCCGACCCCCUUUUCCCCCCAUGAUUUGACCACAAACGUGGUGAAUUUUUGAUCAGCUGACUUAGCAGCUGGCAACCAUUUAUGACAGAUGAGUUUUUGUUUAUGUUUACAUUUUUCAAUCUCGAAGGUUCCAAAAAGUUUUGUAAUUCGUAAUUUAUUUAACGUAAGCUUGGUAGUUACAAAACGUUUGGUCAGUGUAAGGUGCUUUUACGAGGCACCACUGGAACAAUCAGGAGAUAGUGCAAGUGGAAACGAAUAUGUCGAACGAAUGGCUUCCGGAAAUAACAGGCUGGUAUGGAACUGGAAUAAGAAGCCGAUCGGCGGUCAGUUAAAACGCCGGUAGAGGUGCUAGAAACUGGAAUUUAGGGUGCAAUCGAAGAAGCAGUUGAAGAGCAUGCUGCUUCCACCCUAGUUGCAGAACCCGUUUAACGAACCAGCUGCGCAGAGAAGAUACUGGUCAUUAUACAUUCCGGCUGCGACGACCUGCUGUUAGCAGAACGUUCCGCUUUUCAACCGACUUACUACCUAUACAAAACCGACAACUGGGCAAAAUUUCGACGCCGUCCUCCUACCAUCAAGCAAUCCUCCAUCGCCCUGUGACUCGAACCCAUCGAAAUAUCAUCACAUUUUAAACGAAGUGCAGUACCCGACUGAUUGACAUGAGAAGCACUAGGUACAAAUUUCAUGCCACACUGAAACCGAGCAAGGUUGUUUAUCCAACAUACCACUGAACCAGUAGGCCGCAGAGCUACUUGGGCACUUCCAUGAUUCACUUUGGCAUGGGGUUUUUUUCUCGGCCGAAUCGUCGAAAACUUUGCAAUAAGAAGCACUUCAAUAUAGUGGCCAAAUAUGAGCUCAGUAGCUUUCAAAAAACCCCACUGCCGAAGUUAAUCAAAAGUGCCAAGAAUAGGAUACAGCUCCUUUUGUUAUCGGACGAACAAGAUAUUAGAACAUUAAACUGGUGUGCAAGACAAUGCUUUGUGCAGGUUUUUCUAUGGUUUUUCUCUUAAAUAUAGAAAUAGUGUAAAUGAACGGAAUAAUUAGUGAUUGUAGUUUGUUCCAAGUUACCAGAAAUAUUUUACUACAAUGGGGGAUAUAAGUUUUUGAAUCCCUCCAAUUGAACAUUGAUUAUAAAUAAAAUGUGUGCUUUCCAUAA